rnacentral:lncRNA from 1 species
ACUGGUGGGGUUAUGGUAUGACCCCAGAGAUGAUGUUGAAGACUCCUGGGACAUCUCAAACGGCUGACGUGACAGGCAAGGCUCCUAUGGCAUCGGCACCUCUAAAUCUGCCGAUGAAUCAGAGUCCCCAGUACACUACUGAAAGGUCCUAAUAUGGCUAGAGGGGGGUGAAUAGCCUAUUUAAAAAUUCUACAAACUCACUAGAGCAAGAGGUUAGUAAAUAACAAAGCGAAGCUUUUUGCUCUAGCUCUAAUGGGGUGAAUGCAAGCCACCUAUCCAACAAUUCUAGUUGAUAUAAUCACUAGGCACACAAGAGCUAUGU